UACGUAGGGGGCAAGCGUUGUCCGGAUUCAUUGGGCGUAAAGAGCGUGUAGGCGGCCAGGUAGGUCGGUUGUGAAAACUGGAGGCUCAACCUUCAGAGGUCGACCGAAACCAUCUGGCUAGAGUCCGGGAGAGGAGAGUGGAAUUCCUGGUGUAGCGGUGAAAUGCGUAGAUAUCGGGAGGAAUACCAGUGGCGAAGGCGGCCUUCUGGACGGAUACUGACGCUGAGGCGCGAAAGCCAGGGGAGCAAACGGGG
rnacentral:rRNA from 1 species